rnacentral:rRNA from 1 species
UGGGGAAUAUUGCACAAUGGGCGCAAGCCUGAUGCAGCCAUGCCGCGUGUAUGAAGAAGGCCUUCGGUUGUAAAGUACUUUCAGCGGGGAGGAAGGGCGUAAAGUUAAUACCUUUGCUCAUUGACGUUACCCGCAGAAGAAGCACCGGCUAACUCCGUGCCAGCAGCCGCGGUAAUACGGAGGGUGCAAGCGUUAAUCGGAAUUACUGGGCGUAAAGCGCACGCAGGCGGUUUGUUAAGUCAGAUGUGAAAUCCCCGGGCUCAACCUGGGAACUGCAUCUGGUACUGGCAAGCUUGAGUCUCGGAGAGGGGGGUAGGAUUCCAGGUGUAGCGGUGAAAUGCGUAGAGAUCAGGAGGAAUACCGGUGGCGAAGGCGGCCCCCUGGACGAAGACUGACGCUCAGGUGCGAAAGGGUGGGGAGCAAACAGG